UUGACCUCAAAUCAGGUAGGACUACCCGCUGAACUUAAGCAUAUCAAUAAGCGGAGGAAAAGAAACUAACAAGGAUUCCCCUAGUAACUGCGAGUGAAGCGGGAAAAGCUCAAUUUUGAAUCUGGCGGUCUUUGCAGGCCGUCCGAGUUGUAAUCUAGAGAAGCGUCUUCCGCGCCGGCCUGUGUACAAGUCUCCUGGAAGGGAGCGUCAUAGAGGGUGAGAAUCCCGUCUCUGACACGGACCACCGGUGCUAUGUGAUGCGCUCUCGACGAGUCGAGUUGUUUGGGAAUGCAGCUCAAAAAGGGUGGUAAACUCCAUCUAAAGCUAAAUAUUGGCGAGAGACCGAUAGCGAACAAGUACCGUGAGGGAAAGAUGAAAAGGACUCUGGAAAGAGAGUUAAACAGUACGUGAAAUUGCUGAAAGGGAAACGCUCGAUGUCAGUCGCGUCGGCUGGGGGUCAACCUUGCGGUUUCGCUGGGUGUAUUUCCUGGUCGACGGGUCAGCAUCAGUUUCGGUCGUCGUACAAGGGCCAAGGGAAAGUGGCACCCUUCCGGGGGUGUGUUAUAGCCUUUCGGUCGUAUGUGGCGGCUCGGGACUGAGGAGACUCGGUGUGGGCUUCGGCUUACACUAGAGAUGCUGGCAUAAUGGCCUUGAGCGACCCGUCU
rnacentral:rRNA from 1 species